rnacentral:rRNA from 1 species
CACGAAGUUAGCCGGGGCUUCUUCUCCGGGUACCGUCAUUAUCGUCCCCGGUGAAAGAAUUUUACAAUCCUAAGACCUUCAUCAUUCACGCGGCAUGGCUGCGUCAGGCUUUCGCCCAUUGCGCAAGAUUCCCCACUGCUGCCUCCCGUAGGAGUUUGGGCCGUGUCUCAGUCCCAAUGUGGCUGAUCAUCCUCUCAGGCCAGCUACUGAUCGUCGCCUUGGUGGGCCUUUACCCCACCAACUAGCUAAUCAGACGCGGGCCGCUCCAAUGGCGAUAAAUCUUUCCCCCGAAGGGCACAUCCGGUAUUAGCUCAAGUUUCCCUGAGUUGUUCCGAACCAAAGGGCACGUUCCCACGUGUUACUCACCCGCCCGCCACUAAUCCCGAAGGAUCCGUUCGACUUGCAUGUGUUAGGCCUGCCGCCAGCGUUCGCUCUGAGCCAGGAUCAAAACUCU